rnacentral:rRNA from 1 species
AAUCAACGCUGGCGGCGUGCCUCAGACAUGCAAGUCGAACGAUUAAAGCUCUCUUCGGAGAGUGCACAGAGUGGCGCACGGGUGAGUAACACGUAAGUAAUCUACCUUCGAGUGGGGAAUAACGUCCGGAAACGGACGCUAAUACCGCAUAAUGCAGCGGCAUCGUAAGAUGACAGUUGUUAAAGAUUUAUCGCUUGAAGAGGAGCUUGCGGCAGAUUAGCUAGUUGGUAAGGUAAUGGCUUACCAAGGCUACGAUCUGUAACCGGUCUUAGAGGACGGUCGGUCACACUGACACUGAAUAACGGGUCAGACUCCUACGGGAGGCAGCAGUCGGGAAUUUUGGGCAAUGGGCGAAAGCCUGACCCAGCAACGCCGCGUGAAGGAUGAAGUAUCUCGGUAUGUAAACUUCGAAAGAAUAGGAAGAAUAAAUGACGGUACUAUUUAUAAGGUCCGGCUAACUACGUGCCAGCAGCCGCGGUAAU